AUUCGACGUUCUUUUCCGUUGCAUGCUUCGGCUUCGGCUAAUUUUAUCAAGUUUUUUAUUUUUUUAAUUAUUCGAAAUUUGCACAUUUUUUAACCAACAGCGUUUGUGAUGAGCUGCUUAUGACAUUUUGGAAGUGCGCGGGAAUAACCUUUUGUCUAGAAUUUUUCAUGGAAUAUUUUCGAGGAGGGGUUUGAUAAAAUAAAAAUUUGUUGGUAAUAACUCAACUCUUGCUAGAAAUCGUGUCUUUUGGCAAUGAAAAUGUUCCGUAAUCUGAGAAUUUUAAUCAAAAACACAAAAGAAUAUUACGAGCAGUAUAGACGACUUUAAGGCGUUGAUGAAUCGCUCAGAAAAUCCUUUGAAAAGAAUACUUCAAGUAGAAUAAUGUCGAAUCAUUCCGGAAUCUUCAUCCCUUUAAACGCAUACAAAUAAAGGACGAGUCUCGGCGUUUCCAGGACAGGCACUGUUAGCGUGUCCGAGAAAAAAGCCUUCCCGAGUUGCCAUUGAACAGAAAAUCGAUAAAAUUUUUGUUCGUUCUCCCCACCAAAAUUGGUGAAGAAUAGCGAGCAAUUAUCACUCGACAAGCACGCGUGUCGUCUGCGACAGCUAAAAACAACGACACACGUCUACCAGGGUAGCGGGGGCCUUCGAUGUCGCUUCGAAGCAGGCGGGGACCGUCCGGCUCGUGUCCUGGGUACGCAUGCACAGAACACACCACAAAACACCACAAAGUUACAGACAUAAAAAAGAGACAAUUUUUUCUAUACGGUGUUAGCAAAAAUCCCAAGAAAAUUGAGAAAAGUCUAAAAAUCGUGAUCGAAAGAGUCUAAUUUAAAAAAAAAAAAAAAAAACAAUGAUCAAAUGGAUUUGAACGUUCGGAAAUCGAUUUACGAUUCGUUUCGUAUUGCCAAAAGCUUUGUUCGAAUGAAGAGUGAAAAAUAUCGAAAAUUUAUUGAAAAUUCCCGCAAUUAGUUGACCUCUCGAGUCGGGUGCUUAAUUUAAUUGUAUUUACUGAUAAAAAAAAUGACAAAAUCGAGCCAAAUAUGAAUUUGAAAUGGAAAAGAAAAGCACACUAUAAAAGUCAUGAAGUUGCGAUUGAGUUCGUAAAACAAUGAGUGGAAAAGAUUUCUGACUCGAUGAAGCAACGAAUAGAGUAAGUACAAAAAAUGAUUGUUAAUAUCGAACGAAGUUCGAUUCCAAUAGUCAGAAUGAAAUAGUCAAAAAGUCAUUUCGAAUCCUAACAUUUGUGCGAAACUUGAAAAACUUGAAAAAUUUUGAGGUGGAAAAAUUGAAGUUCGAUUGAACCACCGAUUCUUAUCGAACCGGUUGGUCGUUUGUCCAUUAAUUUAUUAGUUUUUGUUAAGGAAUCGUGAUUUGGGUGCAAAAAUGGCCAAAGACAGAGGGAGGAUUGAAAAACUUAUGAAAAACGUGAGAGUGUGCGGGUCGAUAAAUGAGCAGUUAGAAAAAGGAAUGACAACGCAAGGAUGAUAAUCAGUGGGAAAAAAGUUGGAGUUUUUUGGACUGACCUUGGGGAUCCCAAUGCCUGCGCCACCCGAGGCCGCGACCGAGCCUCGUCCCGGUGGCACAUAAAGACUCUCCGUUCUCUUCGGCUGGCCAGGACUCGGCAAAAUGUCUUGUCCGAGGUUGCGGUUCUUCAGGAGCGCCCCUUCGAAUUGGCUCGAUGUUGGAGGCAUGUACGUUGGGGUUGCAGCUCCACUGCCAACGACCGAACCGUUCAGCGGUGUUCCUGACCUCACCAGACUCGGGCCCCUUAUCGAUCUUUUGGUGUUUCCAAAAAAAAAAACAAAGAUUUUUAAUUAAUUCAGUUUUUCCAUUAUCAAGCUUAAUGUCAAACGACGAGUUUUUCGUUUCUAAAUAGUUUCAAGACAUUGGCAAGUGCAUUUAUUUAGAUUUUUCAUCAAUUUUCUUUCAUGCGUUCUAUUCAUUCGCAUCGAUUCAAUUUAUUUAUUGAAUUUGAGUAAAUUCAUCAAAUUACACGAAACAAAUCAAUUAAUCCCAAUGAAUGAAAUAAAAUAAUCUCACACGAG
rnacentral:lncRNA from 1 species